GACGAACGCUGGCGGCGUGCUUAACACAUGCAAGUCGAGCGGUAAGGCCCUUUCGGGGUACGACGAGCGGCGAACGGGUGAGUAACACGUGGGUGACCUGCCCUCAGCUCUGGGAUAAGCCUGGGAAACCGGGUCUAAUACUGGAUAUGACUCCAUGACGCAUGUUGUGGGGUGGAAAGCCUUGUGCGGCUGAGGAUGGGCCCGCGGCCUAUCAGCUUGUUGGNGGGGUGAGGCCUACCAAGGCGACGACGGGUAGCCGGCCUGAGAGGGCGACCGGCCACACUGGGACUGAGACACGGCCCA
rnacentral:rRNA from 1 species